UUCAAAACUUUUUCGCUCAAAACUUUUCAGUUCCCUCCACUGCCUUCCAUCUUCUCAAAUCAAGGUUAAGAUCAGUCUUCUCUCAUCCUCCAUAGGUGACACCAGUUGAUACCAAAAUCUUGAACUCGAAGCGCGGGAUUCUAGGAGAGGGUGUGAAUAAUUCACGCAAACAUUGGUCGAUUUUUUCAUCCUGGAUUAUUAAACUGAUUUCACGAAACUCCAUUGCAGCAGUUUCAUCACAAGUUCAAGAUUUGCACCUCCUCGAGAUUUUAUACUUGCAGUGCUUACUGUUGAAUUGGACUAUUUAUCAAGAGCAAAAGCAAGAGAAGAACAGGUUGAUGCCAUUGUUGUAACUCAGACCAGG